AAAAAUUUCGUAAAAGACGAACGUGAAUUAGAAAUUUAAUAAAUGAACCCGAACAUGUAGGGUUUCAUAAGAAAGUAAGAGAAAGUAGAAAAUGUGAGUCAUGGACUCAAGAACGAACGAAUUCUGAGUUCGGAUGACCGAAUUACGGACGAGCGAACGAAGAGCGUUAAAAAUAUAAAAUAAAUGAAGGGUGAAGAUCAAGCCAAUCUAAUGGCACGUUAACAGAUUCAGAACGAAGUCCUGUCUGAGGGGUAUUGAAGUACGUAAGAUAAGGAAGAAUAUUACUUUGGAAUGACCUCGUUCUGAGUUAUAACGAAG
rnacentral:lncRNA from 1 species